GACGUAGGGCGCGAGCGUUGUCCGGAUUUAUUGGGCGUAAAGAGCUCGUAGGCGGCUUGUCGCGUCGAAUGUGAAAACUCGGGGCUCAACUCCGAGCUUGCAUUCGAUACGGGCAGGCUAGAGUUCGGCAGGGGAGACUGGAAUUCCUGGUGUAGCGGUGAAAUGCGCAGAUAUCAGGAGGAACACCGGUGGCGAAGGCGGGUCUCUGGGCCGAUACUGACACUGAGGAGCGAAAGCGUGGGGAGCGAACAGG
rnacentral:rRNA from 1 species